CCGGGGGUUCAGGGAGGGUCACCACCCCAGAACUGGGGAUUCAGGGGGGGGUCAGGACCCCAAACCCGGGGUUCAGGACCCCAAACCCGGGG